CCUACAAGUACUCCAGAGGCAGAGCUAGCACAUCACCCGCUGACAGCACCCUCCCGCCUUUAGUUGUACAGCAACAGUUUUUAGGUCCAUGGUGUAAACGGGCCCUACAGCAAUCAACUAAUCUGCGAUGAGAACAGGCCCUUCUGUUGCGGGUCCUGCUUAACUGCUCGUGGGCCACUGGGGCCAAAUGCAAAGAGCUGAACGUGUGGACAAUAUAUCCGCUCUUGGAUUCAGAUGGAGCACCCGAUGGCUUUAUCAUCCCCAGCUGAAAAUUUCUGCAUCCACGAUUUGCCCUGCAUCACGAGCUGUAUGACAACUCCCUGGGCCACUUCAGCGCAGAGCGAGCCAGGCAGACUGCAAGGUCAGCAAAUCUCUGCAAGCUAUGGGGCCAUAUGGGCAAUGGCCAUUCAUGAAACAACCGUGCCAGAUUUGGCAGCCUUGAUGAUGACCACAUGGCAGGCCUUCAGCUGCUGGGCCAGAUUAACGUGAACGUGGGAGCAAACUGACUCUUGCAACACCUGGCCUCUGCAGAUAACCCCACCCAGCUUGACUUCAGGCCAAGUCACGGCACAAACAACCUCUGUUGUAUUGACAGAUGACCUCAUGAGAAUGAACAGAUAAGACGAAAUGAUGUUGAUACUACUUGAUCUGUAAGCCGUGUUCGAUAUUGUUAGCCAGGGCAGUCAGGAAUGCUGAUGUGACCACAAGCCCUUGGAGAAUUUGUUUGAAGGCUGGCUAUCAUCACGCCCCGUCAGGACACUGACGGCUCCCUUAGGGCUUUAUCCCCCGGCCGGCUCUUGGCAGGCAGGCUCCGUGCCCCAGCGGGGAAACCCACUGCUCUGAGUUUUCUGUGGGCCUUUCUGCAUACCACAGUCCAUAACUGCAGCAGUACAUAUAAAAUAUUAUCGCUCACUGAAUGUAGAUGUAUUUCUAUUUCGGUAUACUUUAUUUUGUCGUAAGUAGUUCCGGUAAGAAGAUACCA